rnacentral:misc_RNA from 1 species
GCAAGUAAAAGUCGUAACAAGGUUUCCGUAGGUGAACCUGCGGAAGGAUCAUUGUAGGAUUGUUUUGGGAGGGGUGGUUGUGAUUUGUGGGGAUUGUGUGUGGUUGUUUGGAUUGCCUGGAUUGCCUGGCUGUCUGCAACUCGACUCGUCUCAUCACAACCACUCUACAUUGGCACAGACCAGUGGUCUGAUGUUUGGAGCAACAGACCAGUGGUGUCUGAUGUUUGCGCUUGCUCGUUUGACAGAAACAAUACCAUAUCAUUGCAAAACUUUUAACAAUGGAUCUCUUGGCUCUU